GACGAACGCUGGCGGCGUGCCUAAUACAUGCAAGUCGAACGCACUCUCGUUUAGAUUGAAGGAGCUUGCUCCUGAUUGAUAAACAUUUGAGUGAGUGGCGGACGGGUGAGUAACACGUGGGUAACCUGCCCUAAAGUGGGGGAUAACAUUUGGAAACAGAUGCUAAUACCGCAUAAAACCUAACACCGCAUGGUGUAGGGUUGAAAGAUGGUUUCGGCUAUCACUUUAGGAUGGACCCGCGGUGCAUUAGUUAGUUGGUGAGGUAAAGGCUCACCAAGACCGUGAUGCAUAGCCGACCUGAGAGGGUAAUCGGCCACACUGGGACUGAGACACGGCCCAGACUCCUACGGGAGGCAGCAGUAGGGAAUCUUCCACAAUGGACGAAAGUCUGAUGGAGCAACGCCGCGUGAGUGAAGAAGGUUUUCGGAUCGUAAAACUCUGUUGUUGGAGAAGAAUGUAUUUGAUAGUAACUGAUCAGGUAGUGACGGUAUCCAACCAGAAAGCCACGG
rnacentral:rRNA from 1 species